rnacentral:rRNA from 1 species
AUGUACCAAGGUGGUCCUUCAAGGAAGCAAGGACCCAGGCUCGCAAUGCGCGAUGGCGACGAUGAACCACCGAGGGAAGCUCAAGUGUGGGCUUGUGAAUGGCCUUCAGAGGACUUUAUGGAUCGUGCAGGAAUCAAGGAAGAAUUUAACGCAUAUGUGCGUAAUGCUGAUCUUGAGAGCUUCGAGGCAGAUAAGUGCCGCCAGUACCACUAUCUCACUGAUUCCUUUGUGAGAAGGUUUGAAUUUUCAUCAUCACACAAUUCUCAAACUGUCCUAUUUGAUCUUUAUGAAAAUUCUUAUACUAUGGACUUAGAGGAUUUUAAUACUGCUUGCAAACUUCCACAAUGGGGUAGUCCUAAUGAACCUCGCAAAUCUGAAUUUAGAGAUUUUCUUGCUAGUAUAACUGUGGGGGAAUCUAGAGAUAUAACACAAGCUACCAUAGGGAGCAUUUAUUUUCCUGCUAUACAUUAUUUUGCUCUCUUCAUAGGUAGGUGCAUAAAUAGUAAGGAUGAAGCAUGUCACAUGUGUGUCCCUGACCUUAGUGUUCUCAGGAGUUUUGUAUUAGAAGAUAAACAUUAUAACUUGGGAGCCAUUGUUGCACGUAGGUUGCAUAAUAAUAUGUUUAAUGGAGAUUUCUUCGGUGGAAUUUAUGCAACCCGUCUAGCUAAUUUUCUUGAUAUACCCAUACGUGGGUAUGAUAUUGAGUUGCCUCCUGUUUAUUUAGAUUAUGAGGCUAUGGUUCGUCAUCAGUUUGUUGAGAGGAACGAUCAGUUCCUCCAGUACCGACUAAUCUUUGACAGACGACGCACCUAUCACGUCGCUCUCCCGGCUCCUGUUUUCUUUGACUCUUUGGCAAAAGGGAGAUAUGUUAUAACCAGGGAGGAGGCAGACGAGUAUAAGAGGACGACGGAGACGGCUCGUCUCCAAGCGGCGGCUCAUGAGGCAAUAGCUGCUGCAUCUCAGUACGACCCCAACUAUAACUUUGGAUAUCCGCCAGGCCAGCCGUGGCCAUAG